rnacentral:rRNA from 1 species
UAAAUUGAGAGUUUGAUCCUGGCUCAGGAUGAACGCUGGCGGCGUGCUUAACACAUGCAAGUCGAGCGAUGAAGUUUCCUUCGGGAAACGGAUUAGCGGCGGACGGGUGAGUAACACGUGGGUAACCUGCCUCAUAGAGUGGAAUAGCCUUCCGAAAGGAAGAUUAAUACCGCAUAACGUUGAAAGAUGGCAUCAUCAUUCAACCAAAGGAGCAAUCCGCUAUGAGAUGGACCCGCGGCGCAUUAGCUAGUUGGUGGGGUAA